rnacentral:rRNA from 1 species
CCUACGGGAGGCAGCAGUGAGGAAUAUUGGUCAAUGGACGAGAGUCUGAACCAGCCAAGUAGCGUGAAGGAUGACUGCCCUAUGGGUUGUAAACUUCUUUUAUAUGGGAAUAAAAUGUUCCACGUGUGGGAUUUUGUAUGUCCCAUAUGAAUAAGGAUCGGCUAACUCCGGGCCAGCAGCCGCGGUAAUACGGAGGAUCCGGGCGUUAUCCGGAUUUAUUGGGUUUAAGGGGAGCGUAGGUGGAUUGUUAAGUCAGUGGUGAAAGUUUGCGGCUCAACCGUAAAAUUGCAGUUGAAACUGGCAGUCUUGAGUACAGUAGAGGUGGGCGGAAUUCGUGGUGUAGCGGUGAAAUGCUUAGAUAUCACGAAGAACUCCGAUUGCGAAGGCAGUUCACUGGACUGCAACUGACACUGAGGCUCGAAAGUGUGGGUAUCAAACAGGAUUAGAUACCCCAGUAGUC